rnacentral:rRNA from 1 species
GACGAACGCUGGCGGCGUGCUUAACACAUGCAAGUCGAGCGGUAAGGCCCUUCGGGUACACGAGCGGCGAACGGGUGAGUAACACGUGGGUGACCUGCCCUCCACUCUGGGAUAAGCCCGGGAAACUGGGUCUAAUACCGGAUAUGACCUCUGGAUGCAUGUCUGGUGGUGGAAAGCCUGGGUUGUAUGACUCUGGCGGUGGGGGAGUGGGCCCGGCGGUCUAUCAGCUUGUUGGUGGGGUGGAUGGCCUACCAAGGCGACGACGGAUAGCCGGCCUGAGAGGGUGGAUCGGCCACACUGGGAC